UUAACAGACAAAUGGAGUAUUACUUUCUUAGCCCAAAGUCAAAUAAAUCCAUGGAAAAGUCUCCCUUCUUCUUCCUUCCCCACAUCACACGCCUACUACUCCCUCCCCACUCCAAGAUCUUUUCAAAUUUCCAUCUUUAUCUACACCCCUGUUGUUGAAGAAAAAUCGAGAGAGAGAAGAAAGAGAUUUCAAGUUCCUAUCAAGUCGAGAGCGGCGGUGGCGCGUAGCAGCAGCAGUGGCGGCGGUGCAGCGGCGACGGCGGCUGAAGCAACGACAGCUGCUGUCCACAGAGAUCAGGCGGCAGCGGCAUCGGAUGGCGGUUGCGACCGGAGACAGCCAGCGAAAGAGAGAGAUUAGCCGUGAGUAGAGAUGUGAUAAGCUCGGAUUUGCACUGUUUUAAGGCCAAUAUUUGGUCCGUUUUUUAGUGUCUAAGUUGUAUUUCAUGUCAAUUAUUUGCAUAUUUUAUCUAUUUUGGUAUUUUGACGUAUUUUGUGAGAAAUAUGUAAAAUAGAGCUGAAAAAGGUUAUAAAAAUGUCAAAAUUCGAAAGCUGGAACUAAAGGGCAACCUAGCGGUCGCUGAAAAGCAUUCCAAAGAGCUCGGAAGCUGUCCACCGGCCCGCUGGGCCUGUUCGCGCGCGGUAAUCCUCGUUCAAACACAUUUUUCUGGCGAUUCUGACUUUCAAUCAGGUCUUUCUAGACACCAUUCUCUUCUUCUUCGAAAGAUCUUCACGAUGGUACCUUGAUCAUGUCAAUCGGAAUUCUGUGGAUAAAGUUGUCACCAUUUUACCAAAGUCGCGCAAUGCUGUCAAGAGCUGAAUUUAGGCGGAAAUUCAAGAAAGGAAAGAAACUAUUACCUUGUGAAGCCAAAUCUUUCCUUUAACCUAUGGGGCCCGUAAUUUCCAUCUUUCCUAUUACUUGGACGAUGCCUUUUACCAACUUUAAACUUUUUUCAAGCCUAUAUAUACCUCAUAGCCUAAUUCUUCAUCUAUCGUUCCAUCCUCGUGGAGAUUGGAGUAAAGCAAGAGAAGACUAAAGAUUGCACAACAAUUCAUCUUGGGUUUUGUUUACUUUUUCUUUAUAUUUUGUAUUUUAAUUUGUAGUUUUUGCUAUUUGUCUGUGAUUAGCUAAACUAUAAGAAUUCUUGGGAUGCGUUAGUAACUUUUAUUGGUUUAUACAAUUCCAGUUUUUGGUA